UACAGAGGGGGCAAGCGUUAUUCGGAAUUAUUGGGCGUAAAGGGCGCGUAGGCGGCUUGACAAGUGGCGGGUGAAAUCCCUCGGCUUAACCGAGGAACUGCCUGCCAGACUGUCUUGCUUGAGACCGUGAGAGGUGAGUGGAAUUCCCAGUGUAGCGGUGAAAUGCGUAGAUAUUGGGAGGAACACCAGUGGCGAAGGCGGCUCACUGGACCGGAACUGACGCUGAGGCGCGAAAGCUAGGGGAGCAAACAGG
rnacentral:rRNA from 1 species